AAGAGUUAAAGCAAGUCCAUGUUAAGGACAACAGCUGUCAUUAUAUCCGAAUCCUACUGUACUCUUAGUGGUCAAUAUAUCUUGAUCAUCACUUGCAUUCUGCGUUAGAAUUAAUGUCAGAAUAUUGUGUGCAUUGUGAUUCAUAACGCAUGUAAGCAGUCCUCAAAUUGGGCUGAGUCCUUAUCACUAAAAAGAGAUGCACAAUUUGAGGCUCAAAAUACGAAUUUGUUAUUUUGAAAGACUCUCAUGAGUUAAAAAGUAAGACAUUUAAAAAGUGAUGUUUAAAAAGUUAGAGCCAUGAAAUUUGGAGAUUUAAACUUUUAAAAUUUUAAUCGAAAAAGUGAUGCUUGGUACAAGGUUUUAAAAAAGAUGAUAAACACAUCUCUCAUACUUUAAAGAAAAGUAUGUCUUCCUCCUAUCUUAGAUCUCCAAUCCCCCUCACCAGGGCAAUUGCUGUUUACAGAUUUUUGUCUAUGCCUUCAGAAAUUUUCCGUGCACAUGCACGUUCAUGCAUCUUGCUUUUCGCUCAAAUGGAAAAAUAAUAUGUGUAACUCUUAAUACACUUUGCUUUUCUGUUUAACCUUGAAGACAGUUAAAUUCAGCAGCGCUAAAUCUCUCUCAGCCUUCUGAAAAGAUUUUUAGCUUCAAUCUUAUUUCCCAAGGGGAGGAGACAGCCGAAGGUGACUACAGAACACAUCUGGUGAAGAGGAAGCCUUUCUGCGGAGGGGGGACACCCAGCUGCCAACUCUGGGGCAGGCAGCAAAUUGUCAUCCAACAGCCUUAAGGGAAAAUAUCAGUAUGAUCCCCGCAUGUUGCAGAGAAAGAAUGGACAACAAAGAAGGCAACAUGGUUCUCAAGUGCAAACUGGAGAGGAGAGAGGAUCAGCUCUUGAAAGGGCCAGCUGUUUAGAAAGAGGACCGAUGAGGAGUACUGAACUGUCCUUUCUGGGGAGAGUAUUGCCUUUAUAUUCACACGUAUUUAACCCAGCCUAAAAUCGGAUUGUACUUGUUGCAAAAGGGGUGAUAUGAUCUGCCAGUUAUAGAAUAAGAAUAACUGAAGUUUUUGAGAAAGAAGAGCAGACCCUGACAAUGAGAAAUUGACCCAGCCCUCACAGCGAGACCACAUGACUCUCCCAAUAGACAUAAACAAUCACAGAAUCUCCCAGAAUCCCAGCUUCAGACCAGGCUGCUCUGAGACUACAAUAAAAUGAGACAAAGCAAAGGCGCUUCAUAAUUUUGACAGCACAGACAAAAACGGGUCACUGUGUCACUCAUAAAAUACUAAACUUCCUCUCUUGGCCAAAAUGAGUGACUGCUACUUCUUUAGCAAUUACAGCUUUAUCCCUAUUCCAGCUUGCCCUCUCUAUAGUCAAGAUUCAUUAAGAUAUCCAAUCACAGAGUUGAUGAGCUAACAGCACCCAAUCUAGAGUGAAUCCCUGCUGCUUUAGACCCUUUCUCAGUCAGCCAACUAAAGCCCAAACCCUCUAAAGUUUCCUUCUAACGCCCUCUUACUGAGACAAAUGCAGCCUGUGUUCUCCUUUCCUGCAACAAGGAACAACCCAACUUAUUCAAAUACAGGUGUGUUCUGGGCAGUCUUUGGCUGAAGCAUAUGGACACUGUUUACACAUUUCUGUGUGUGUGUGUGUGUACAGUUUACAAACAUUAUAUAUGUUUAUAUAAAAUCAAGGUAGCAAGAAAAUUCAAGUAAUUCAAGUUCCAAAAUAUGUUUGUGCCUGAACUCUCUGUAGAGAUACUAUGAUCAAAUGAAUAAGAUAAUCAGAUAAUUACACAUUUUCUACAUGUCAGCCUAAGCA